rnacentral:rRNA from 1 species
GAUGAACGCUAGCUACAGGCUUAACACAUGCAAGUCGAGGGGAAACGACAUCGAAAGCUUGCUUUUGAUGGGCGUCGACCGGCGCACGGGUGAGUAACGCGUAUCCAACCUGCCCAUCACUUGGGAAUAACCUUGCGAAAGUAAGACUAAUACCCAAUGAUAUCCCACGAAGGCAUCGGAAUGGGAUUAAAGAUUUAUCGGUGAUGGAUGGGGAUGCGUCUGAUUAGCUUGUUGGCGGGGUAACGGCCCACCAAGGCAACGAUCAGUAGGGGUUCUGAGAGGAAGGUCCCCCACAUUGGAACUGAGACACGGUCCAAACGCCUACGGCAGGCAGCAGUGAGGAAUAUUGGUCAAGGGGCGAGAGCCUGAACCAGCCAAGUAGCGUGCAGGAAGACGGCCCUAUGGGUUGUAAACUGCUUUUAUAAGGGAAUAAAGUGAGUCACGUGUGACUUUUUGCAUGUACCUUAUGAAUAAGGACCGGCUAAUUCCGUG